rnacentral:rRNA from 1 species
GAAACGGGUGGUAAUGCCGGAUGCUCCAGUUGAUCGCAUGGUCUUCUGGGAAAGCUUUCGCGGUAUGGGAUGGGGUCGCGUCCUAUCAGCUUGACGGCGGGGUAACGGCCCACCGUGGCUUCGACGGGUAGCCGGCCUGAGAGGGCGACCGGCCACAUUGGGACUGAGAUACGGCCCAGACUCCUACGGGAGGCAGCAGUGGGGAAUAUUGCACAAUGGGCGCAAGCCUGAUGCAGCGACGCCGCGUGAGGGAUGGAGGCCUUCGGGUUGUAAACCUCUUUUAUCGGGGAGCAAGCGAGAGUGAGUUUACCCGUUGAAUAAGCACCGGCUAACUACGUGCCAGCAGCCGCGGUAAUACGUAGGGUGCAAGCGUUAUCCGGAAUUAUUGGGCGUAAAGGGCUCGUAGGCGGUUCGUCGCGUCCGGUGUGAAAGUCCAUCGCUUAACGGUGGAUCCGCGCCGGGUACGGGCGGGCUUGAGUGCGGUAGGGGAGACUGGAAUUCCCGGUGUAACGGUGGAAUGUGUA